UGGUGGAGCAUGUGGUUUAAUUCGAUGCAACGCGAAGAACCUUACCUACUCUUGACAUCCACAGAACUUAGCAGAGAUGCUUCGGUGCCUUCGGGAACUGUGAGACAGGUGCUGCAUGGCUGUCGUCAGCUCGUGUUGUGAAAUGUUGGGUUAAGUCCCGCAACGAGCGCAACCCUUAUCCUUUGUUGCCAGCACGUAAUGGUGGGAACUCAAGGGAGACUGCCGGUGACAAACCGGAGGAAGGUGGGGAUGACGUCAAGUCAUCAUGGCCCUUACGAGUAGGGCUACACACGUGCUACAAUGGCAGAUACAAAGUGAAGCGAACUCGCGAGAGCAAGCGGACCACAUAAAGUCUGUCGUAGUCCGGAUUGGAGUCUGCAACUCGACUCCANGAAGUCGGAAUCGCUNG
rnacentral:rRNA from 1 species